GUCGAUGCUCCAGUGUUCCUGGCUAUCUUUAUUGUCCCUCACUCACUUUCUCUCUAAGCCUCUUCCUCCUUGCCAACAAAAAUAUUUCUAGCCCUUCUAUCUCCAGCAACUUGCUCUAUCACUGCGUAACAGAUGGACAGGGCAGUCUUUUCUGCAAAGGAGCAGGACCCAGUGCUUCUGCUGGUUGGCAAUGGGCUGGGUGAGUGUGCUAAAGCCAUCACAGACUGGGAUAAACAAAAGAGUUGCAGAGAACAAGAGAGCACCUUAAAACUCUUCAUGAUGAGGGUCUGCAAGAGAAUUUAGUAAAAGAGCCACGUGAGCAAACAUUUACACUGGAAAAGCCUCUCUCCCAUCCGGGAAGCUGGGAGCAUUCUGCUGGGGGAGGUUUUUGUUUGCCUUGCACAGAGGCAGGUGUUUCUGAGGGCACUGCUGAGCCCCGUCCUCGGCAUCACCCACCCAGCAGCACAUCUCGAGCUCCACCAGAGCGUCUCUCAGGAGCCUUUCAGCAGGAAUUCAUCCAAGUCACCUCCAGAAGUGCCUUUCUGAGCCAGGGAGCAGCCCUGCAGCCCUCUCCAGACCAGAUAUCAUAUAUGAAAUAUGUGUUGGCAUCUUCAGGGCAAAGGGACCUUCCAGUAUCCAUCACACCUCCAUAUCCAUCCCAGUACCACACACAGAAGACCUGCUUUGCAGUUCCUGCAUGUGACCUAUGAUAUUGUCAAGAACUGUAGCAUUUUUUCAGAAGCAAAGGUGCAGUCAGACUCCUUGUGCAGUCUUCACAGGGUGAAAGUCCAUCCCUUGCUCAACCAAAGGGUAUUAGAUCUCCUGGCAGCUGUAAUAGUUGAACAUGCAGAGGGUAACCUUCCUACAGCACAGAACUGAGCCUAAGAAGUAUUAAGUGCCUUCAAGGUCCACUAAAAUCAACGGGAUUGAAGAGUGCCAUAUCCUUGAAGGGCUAGGCCCCAGGGGAUUGAGUCUUCUGGGAUUUACUGAUUCUGAAGACGGGCAAAAUAAAAUAUUUAAAGCAGCCUGACACACACAUGCUAAAUUCUUUUCUUUUGUGCUGAAACAUAAUUUUUUUAAUGCGCCCUGAGCAUGCUGUGAAAGCAGUCUUCCUACAUGUUUCCUUGGUGAGGAGCGUUUGCUAUCUGUGUUAAUCAGUCACAAACACUGUGACGGAUAUGGCCCCAAAGCAGAUUAGAUUUAGAUUUCAUAACUUUUUUUUUUUUUUAAUAAGAUAGAAUUGUAUGUGGUGAAAAAGUCUAUCAGGUACCUCAGAUGGGAAAGGGUUACUAUAGGGACAUACAUCAGCAGUAUGUACUUUACAUUCUUAGUUCAUUGGUUUCUACAGCACUUCUCGUUCACAGUAAUGUGAGGCAGUUAAUAUGGGAACCUGAACACUGUUGGACUGAUAAGCCUUCAUACUCACUUGCAAAAGUAAUUUUCAGUAAUCUUUGAGGGGAAAAAUUGCAUUUAGUGUGGAAAAAAAAAAAAAGUUUAAAAAAAUGCUAAGCCAUUCAUGCAUCCUAUUUUAUUGAGUGUGCAAGUAAUAGACUAUGCAGAAAUUGAACUUUUGAUCCAUUAGGCUGUGCAUAAGGACAAACUGCUGCUGAGCUAUUGUGAGAAAGUUAGGUUUCCAAAUAGAAAAUUUUCACAGUAUUUUUCCAAAAUUUUGUUUGACAAUGAGACACCAGUAUCACCAUUGAAAAACUUCAUCAGGAAGGCUGGACCAACAGGCAACCACGCCAAGUUGUUUCCCAUCUGGCCAGUACUGGUUCCUGAUCCCUGGCUCUGCUCUCACAUAUCCCACUCCAGCUGCCACAAAACUAGUCAUCUUCAGGGUAACUUUUUUUGCCAUUAUUGUGCAAGACAACAGUAACAUCCUUUCCUAAAUGCUUAAUGAACAGAACUGUCUGUGUACUCUUAGCUCUGACAAUUACUUCAUAGUCCAAGCCAGGCCAGGCAAAAUAGAAAGUUUCCAAACCAUUUUAAUUUUCUUGACAGAAAGAUGGUUUGGUUCCCAAACAAGCCUAAUCAACCUCUAUUUCUUUUAACUCCCCAGCCCUCAUGCGAUCAGUACAACUAUGCCUGAUUAGCUGUGGCUGUUUAUUGCCACUGCCUUUUCCACAAUAAAAAUGUCUGAGCAUUGGGUGACUGGCUUUCCUGCUGCUAGAGGUGGACUUUGCAGGGCUAAGUUUGGAGAACACCGUCAACAGAGACACACAUGAACCUCAUGUUGUAUCUCACAGCCCUGAGCCUGAAGGAGAUGAUGGAAAGUUGUACACCCCAUGCAAACCAUGCCAUGUUGCACCUCCUACCUGGACCUUCAGCAUCUCCUCCCCAUCACACUGGGUCUGGAAACCCGGCACAGUGGCAAGGCUGAAGCAGUAGGGUAUGUAGGACUAUUUGCUGUUAUUCUUGGCAUUUGUGCCUAAACACUUCAGACUCCUGAGCCCAGUAUUGCAACUGUAAUAACAGCAACACCUAAACCGCUUUUAAACCUAGCAAGGGCAGGAGGCCGGGAGGGAAGCCAGGGAAGGAGCAGUCAAACAAACCCUGAAGGUACCUGGGAGGGAAGGAGGCUGCACUGGUGAACGCCACAGCCCCAGGCAGAAGCAUCCCAGAGGGGUUGUGGCACUCCAGAAGAAAACAUGAAGGAUGUCUGAGAAGUAGGUAACAGUGGC
rnacentral:lncRNA from 1 species